CCCCUAUUAGUUUAAACAAAACACUAGAUUUGCAAUUUAGAGAUGGGAGAUCCCCUUAGGAGA
rnacentral:tRNA from 1 species